ACAGCAGUAGCCGCGGUAAUACAGAGGGUGCGAGCGUUAAUCGGAUUUACUGGGCGUAAAGCGUGCGUAGGCGGCUUUUUAAGUCGGAUGUGAAAUCCCUGAGCUUAACUUAGGAAUUGCAUUCGAUACUGGGAAGCUAGAGUAUGGGAGAGGAUGGUAGAAUUCCAGGUGUAGCGGUGAAAUGCGUAGAGAUCUGGAGGAAUACCGAUGGCGAAGGCAGCCAUCUGGCCUAAUACUGACGCUGAGGUACGAAAGCAUGGGGAGCAAACAGGAUUAGAUACCCGAGUAGUCCCUGUCUCUUAUAA
rnacentral:rRNA from 1 species